AUGUGUGUGAAUGUUACCCAUGGCUUUUUCUCAAAACUUGCAUUUGAAACUCAAUCUAAACGUCUUGCUGCUGUCCAACAGAUGAUCAUAAAUCCUGCUUUGACCUUCUGGAAAUCUUACAAACAAGGUGCUGGUGAAUACUCACUGGACAGCAGUGGAGCGUCCGGCCGCUGUGCACGUGGACAUCCAUGCUUCCAGCAUCCAGGGCCGGUCAGUAAAGGUCAGGGGUCGUUUGAAACGGUCCGAGCCUCUCCACACACCCCACUGACCGGCUUCAUGUGAUACACCUGCAACACACAACAGAAAUAUAAUAAAAUAUUCAUUUCAUCAUAUUUUAUUUGUAAAAUAGUUACUGUGCUGUAUAUUGUUUAGUUUUAUGCAAAGCAUCAUUUAAGUUUUGCGUAAAAAAAAAGAAUUUAUUCAUAAAGACACAAAUAUAAAUACUUUGGGUGUUAAAAUAUGUCCUCAGAGCUGUUUACUGUUUGCUUAUAGGCCGGUUAUGGAGUUAGUCAUAGCAUUUUUCGGGCUAAGCGUGAAACGCAGGCGACGGUCUGAAGUUAGCAGUUCCCCACCGAACACGAUUCCAGCUCGGGCACGAGAACCAGUAGAAACAGAAUAACAGAGACUGGUCGAUUACACAUGAAUUACAUCGGUUUAAUGUUUGUUAAACAAGUUUAAAUAUAGGCGAUAGCCUACAUAUUAAAAAUGACUAUAAACGAUGCUGUAAAUGAUAUAAAUAAAGGAAAACAAAGGAAGUUAUAAUGCAAACCACUGGUUGUGUGGAGUAUUUUACACAAGUUUAGAGGAUUUAAGUUUAAGUUUACUUAGAGGAUUUAACCUGGAGUAUUUAAGUUAAACAUUAUUUCAUAUAUGAAAUAAAAAAUAAGCUAGUAAAAAUGAAUCAACCCAUUAUGCUGGGUUAAAUAAACAACCCAAUUUGAUGGGUAAAAUCAACCCAACAUGUGUUCUGUCCUAUAUUUACCCAGCCCUUGGGUUAAAAACAACCCAAAUUGGGUUGUUUUCAACCCAGUGCUUUUUUAGAGUGUAACUAUCAUUUAACUUUGAAAGUGCAUGUUAACGAUUCACCAGCUCUCCACAACUCCAUUGUUGUUUUAUCAUUAUUUAUAUAUUAUUAUAAUAUUUAUUAAUAUUUUAAUUUCAUUUUUUUUUUUAUUUAGCUUUAUUUUAUUUUUGAUUUUAGUUUUAUUAAUGAAUGUACAACUGAAUGUAAACAACUCAAUCUCUCCACAAUUACCAGUGUAAUCGUUUAUAUAGGCUACUAUUAUAAUAUUAAUGGACAUUUUAAAUUAGCUUUUUUAGAUUUUCGUUUUUUUAUUUAAAUUGUAAUAAUUUUGUGAUGUGCUUUUUCUAUUUUUAUUAGUUUUCAUUUUUAUAUUUACCUUAAUUUAUUUUUAUUCCAGUUUUAGUAAAUUUAGUACUUCAACUUUUUACUUUAGCUCUUAAUUUCAAAUUUUUUGAUUUCUAAUUUCCAUUUAACUUUAAUUUUAGGUUUUUCAUCUUAAAUGUAUAUUUUAUUCUAGCUUUAUUUCAUUUUUAGCUUUAAAAGCUUUUUUUUUAUUUUAGUUAACAAUAACAAUACUGCUCACAGCUGUUACUGUUACAUUUAUAUUGCUCUAAAAACAACUUAUCCUUAUCUUAUCAUUCUGAAUAUUAUCACCAACCUCUAACACUUCUUUAGGCUCCAUCAUUAGUUCACAAUUUAUUAUAAAUAAACCAUCUAAUAUAUUAUAUAUUAUAUAUAUAUAUAUAUAUAUAUAUAUAUAUUACCGCACACCUGUUAAGCGUCUCAAAAUCUCCUAGAAGCAACUUCUGAUCCACCAAAAACACUCUAAUACCAGGAAUUAUUACACAUUUUCAGUGUAUACAGUAUAAGAAACACAGGUGUAACAAUAUACUAUUGUAAUAAUAACACCAAAACAAAUCGAUAUAAGGACUUUUAUUUAUUUUAAUAGAAACAUUGUUUUUUUUCUCAAAGCAUUAAAAAUUACCAGUUAAAUCCAGUACAAUAAAUACUACUUGUGUAGUUGUCCUUGUCAUGAAAAAAAUACUAAUAAAAUGAAAACUAAAGACAUUUUUUUUUUAGUGAAAUAACGAGCUGAUAGUUUUCGUGAGGCUCUGAAAAGUUUGGAAAAAAGACAUUUAGAGGGAAAAAAGUUCAACUUACUCUGACAUCGUGGAGAACAGCCGGAGGAAGUUCCGGUUCUGUGUCUGUACCGAGAGCAAACGCGUUUAAAUCCGACCGUGUGCUCGUUCAUCAGGUUCAGCGGGAGCGCGCGCGCGGCUCCUCUUACGCACGGCGCGAUCACGAUGACGAGCACACGCACGCGGUUCCUCCUAAACACAUAAUUGAAUAAUAAGCUGCUCUUAGAAUGAAUAAAACGACCUGAAGUGUGAGAUUAGACACUUGGUGUAAAUCUGCUCUUAGCGCUAUUCUGCUGCGCCCUCUUGUGGCAGGUGACUUCUAUUACAAACUCGUACAAAUCAUAUUUAAUACAAAUUAUUAUUAUUGAUAUCAGAAUAUUAUAUUAGCGCGAAUCUCAUAUCGAGGUCAUUUUACCCUGAAAUAAUAAAUUAAAAUGAAUCCAUUAAGAUUUUUAAAUUACAUUUUGUAAAAGUUAAAGCAUUCGGAACUUUGAUUUUUAAAAUCUAAAAUCCUUGGACUAUUAAUAACAAAUAAUUAUAUUCACACAAACGCGAAUUCUAAAUGUUCAGAUGUUAUAUAUAUUUAUAGCCAAUUACAAGGAUAAUUUAACAGAAGUUUUUCUGCUUCACGUGAAAAUUAAUAAUUUGUUUAAUAUUAAUCAAUGCAAAAUACUGAAUACAUUAAUAUUGUCCUCUGGCUAGAAUUAAAGUAUGUAGUAAUUAUUAGUCAGCAGUGUAAUUCUAUUAGACAUGAAUAUUUAUUAUGUAAUAUUUAUGUAAUUCUUUUUUUUUUUUUUUUGUUUCGUCCGCACAUUAUAAUCAAUAAUUUAUUAAAUAAUUCUGAAUCAAUGCAGAAAAAAAAAGUAUAAAGGGGCAGCAGUGUAAUUCUCACAUUUCACCACAGGAUGGCGCUCAGAUAUAAAAAUAUAUUUCUACUGAAGAAAAGGGCGGUUUUCCAGAUAUUUUAUUGUUGCAGAGGGUCGUGAUUAAUUUGUUAAAUAAUAUAAAAUCAACGCAAAGUAAUUAAAUGCAAGGUUUUCUUCUGUCUCGCGUGAAAUCUGUAGAAAUAAAUCGCUUUAAUGUAAUUCACAUAAUUCACCACAGGAGGGCGAUGAAACUCGAAUUCUAAAUGUCUACCACACAUGCAAAAUAUAUUACUAUAUGUAAAUUAAAAUGGUAAUUUGACAUGUUUUCCCACUUCACAUGAAGAUUAAUCAUUUAUUAAAUAUUAAAUCAAUGCAAAAUAUGGUUUUCCUCCGACUAGAAUAAAAGAAGUAGAAAUAAUUAACAUCAGUGUAAUUAAUACAGAUCCUCUGACUCACUGUUUUAAAUAAAAUAUGAUUUCUUUAUUUUUUUUCAGGAGGAUUUGCUGGAGCUCAGGUGUACUGUAUGUGCAGCAGUUUUCAAUCUCACGAAGAUUAAAGCUGUGACUCGUUUGUCAUUUCAGACAUGAAGCUGCCUCUCCUGAUGAAACUGUUCUCUUUUAUUCUGUCUGAUUGUGCAUCAAAGAUAAUAGUCUUUGAGAACCUGCUGGUGUUUAUAACGGCUGUAGUUUUAGUUCACAUGAAUUCAGAUCUACCUGCUGCUAGUUUUAUUCUGAGUGAUCAAAUAAAAACCUUUUUUUUUCCUCAAUGAAUUGUUCAUUUCAUUCAGAGCUUCAGUGUCUGCUGAAAAAUGUUCAUUAUAUGCUCAAUAUUAAAUAAAUAAACAGCUAUUUUAUCUCUGAGGACUCAUCACCAUGUCCUAAACUGCUUUAAAUAAAAGUGAGAUGAUCAUAAAUGUUGUCUGAAAGACCUAUGCACUUCUUAGCUGUUUUCAUAUCCGUGUGAUCUGGUGCGUCAGGAACUCAGAUAUAAGAAGGUCAAGAAAGCCUCUCAGAGUUCAAACAGCAGCAAACUGAGCGUCAGCUCUUUACAGGACUGACACACUCCUCCAGACACACAGCCAGUGUUCAGUGCUCCCAGUGUUUCUGAAGGAAUAAGACGAGCGCAGUGGUUUAAACACUGGUUCUUAACACGGACGCCGCUGGUUCAAACCUCACUCUUGGUUUAAAUGAGUUUUCAGUGUUUCUGACCGAACAAGACACAGCUCCAAAAGAAGAGACGGUGGUCUGAACAUCAGAGCUAGAUGUGGCUUCAAGCCUCACUCUUGUGCUGGAGACAGUUUAGUUUCACUGGAUUCAGCUGAAGAAAACAAACCACAGAGACACGGAGACACAGAGACAGAGACACGGAGACAGAGACACGGAGACAGAGACACAGAGACACGGAGACAGGGACACGGAGGAGCCUGUGGCCCAGCGGUCUGAGCGUCAGCUGCUCACCCGAGAGCUCAAGGUUCAAAUCCUGUGUUAAAGUGAAAAAAAAAUAAAUUAUUUCUCUAGACUUUAAAGAAAAAAUAAGACAAAACUCCAAAAAAAAGGCUUAAU
rnacentral:lncRNA from 1 species